ACGUAAGUCUCUAUCACCACCUC
rnacentral:siRNA from 1 species